UAGCCACGCACACAUGCAGCUGUGCAGUUUAUUAAAUUUAUGACUAUCCUAUCUGGGCUGAAAGUUACUUCUAUAUUCAUCCUACAUUGUCCUUAGGUAUACGACCUCCACAACUAACAUGAUAUAAAAAAUCAAUAUUUAUAUUUAUUACGACAAAGUAACUAAGAUCCAGUGGGUUGAAUAAUAAUAUUAAUUAUAUAAUCUGCUUUUCAUUGUUUAAAAAGUUAUGUGGGAGUUCUUUUUAAUUAUAAGUAGUAAAAUAUACAAAAAUGGUACAUCAAUGAAGGCCAUAAAAAGAUAUUAUCUGAAAGUUUUGGUGAUACAAUGGUUAGAAACAAACAUUCUCAUAAUUAUAAGGUAUGUUUAUUUGAUCCUCUUAUUGUUUAUAUGAUGACAAACUUAUGCAAAAUUAUAUUUGAAGGUGCACUGGGCUCAAUAGGGCUUGAUCCCGGGGUGAUUUUACCCAAAAUAAGCCCACAGUAGUCAUCACAUUAUGCACAUCCAUUUUAUAUUUAUAAUAUACUCCCUAUAAUUAUUAUACAUAUGUUAUGUAUUAUUGUCACAAUUAUGAUUUAAGUUUUUUGAGUCAAUUGUCACUUAUAUUAAAAUCUGUUUUUUGAUGAAACUUGAAACUUAAUAAAUUUCUUAUAAUAGAUUCUACUGCAUUUUAUUUAUACCCCAAAGUACAAAAAUAGAACUCAAAAGUAUAUAUAAAAAUGCAAAAUAUUAAUUACAGGUGUGGCUUCAUUCUCUUUUAUUAAGCUAAUGACAGGAACAACAUUACUUUUAAGUGAGGGAUACACAUUUUCAAGGAUCGGCAUGACCAGCAAUCUUUAUUAUUGUUCAUCAAGAAAAAAAGGAUGCAAGAGUAGAAUGAAAUUUGACCAACAAAGAAAUAUUGUGUUCUCGAAUGGCAUACUCCAUUCACAUCCACCACCAAGAUAUAAAGAGUCAUUGAAUGGGCUCUACAUUAAAAUUUGAGGGGAAAGUUGUCGUGUUACGAAGGGAUGAUUUCUUUAACUCCGACUUUGAACCUACACCAGUUACGAGUAUUGAACAGUUUACUUCACAGAUUUAAUUAGUUGUUUCCGGUCGAACUGAAAUUAAACAUUCGAAGAAACGAAUACGAAUCGGGAGUGGUAAUAAUUUAAAGUCCAAAGCAAAGCAGCUACGAAAUUCAGGCGCAGAAUAUACUUCUGUGUCUCGCAGUAGUCGAGUUGUUCCAAGGAGGCAAUUGAAACCUCCAUGUGGCACGAAAUGUCGAUGGCAAUGUACCGAAAACAUAAAAGAAGAAGCACGACAAACCAUAUUCCGAAAUUAUUGGAAUAUGGCGUCAUUGAUUAAACAACGGUAUUUUAUAGAUAACAGUAUGGUUGUAAUUAAACCUCGAUAUCAAUAUAAAAAGCUAGACAGCAAUCGCAACUCAAACCAUGCUUAUUACUUUACCAUAAAAUAGAAGAAAAUUAGGGUCUGCAAAUUAUUUUUUAGAAAUACGUUAGGAAUUAAUGAGAGACCUAUACGAACAGUUAUCGAAAAGUUGAGGAAUAAUGGGGUAAUUGAGGAAAAACGUGGAAAACAUGGAAAGCAAAGAAAGGUUUCAUAUUAAUAAAAUAAAUAACUGAUGUCAUUCAGAAUUCAUCAAUUAUUUCGUUUCAUAUUUGAUGGCGUUAUACUUACCUGUCAAGAAAUGAGUUCUGAAAGAAAAGCAAACAUAUUUGUAUAAUUACCUAAAUAAAAAGGAAUUCCCUUUUUUAAUGAGACAGGAGGACAAAAGAUCGUACGCUUACUACAACCACAUUCUCUUGCCUUACCUGAGAAAUCAAAUUUGAACAACAAGGUACCCAAGUAUUGUCGUCCUUUAAACACCGCGCAAGGAAGUGCAUUCCCUAGUUUGGUUGUGAGUGGCAGAAAGUUCAUUGACAAUUGCACUUUGGACGAAUGCCACAUAUGCACAUCAUAAGGAUUAUGUCCAAGCGUGUCGAAGGUGGAAUUGAGUGGCAGCAAUCAGGAAACAGCGUAACAGGUGACAAUUUGAGGUGUUCUGCGCUAUUCCCGGUCAAAUAGUGAAUUAAAAACUGAAUACUGCGGAGCACCAAACCAGUGUUGAGAGCAAUAGUCCAUUUGUGGCCGGACCUCUGCUUUUUAAAGCGCAAGAAUGUAGGCUGAUUUGAAAUAUUGUCUAACUCUGCUUAUGACUGCCACUUUCUUUAAAGCCAAAAUUGUCAUUGCCUACCAGAUGACCGUCAAAUUGGCACUUUUUUUUGUUUCACUUCACAUACAGUUAAAAAAGUUGGUCUUUGAAAUAUCAAUACCACUUGCAAUCAGGAUACUGUGUUUAUAUUUGAAAUAUUUAAAGAUAAUAUAUUAUUAUAAUUGAUGUAAAAGGUCAACUUAGUCUUAUUAUGUACGUGCUCCUUUUGUUGUAACCCCUCGUACUCAGUAUGGCGGGAAUAUAUUUCAUUCCAAGGCAAUAUGACAUCUUUGCAGGGGCUCCCCAGUCCCAACUUCUUCAAUUUGACUUCAUUCGAUGCACAUAGGCUAGAAUCAAUGACGAAUUCAUAUCACGGGAAAUAUUCGAAGGAUGUCUCUCGUUUUAUAAUUACCGCGCAUUUAGAAAGAAACUUUUCGUCUCUCACUGACAUUUUGUGUAAUCUGCUGCUUGGAGUAUUCCCGAAGUGAUAUGAGGUACCUUCAAGCUUAGAGCAAAAUUUCACUUUAAAGGCCGGGAAUGAAUCUCUUUGACUCUGUUGUCGCAGAUGUCCAUGGGCAGCGGUUUUUUCACAUUCCGUUAAAGGAGAGCCAGAUUAUGCUGUCUCCAAAAAAUAAAAAAUAAAUGUUAUAGUAUCGUUUUUACUAAGUUUGUCAUUCUUGCAGGUGAGUUGAGUUACUCAUUUAUUAAGUUACUAUCCGGAGCGACACUACUUUUGUAUGAAGGCUACACCUUUUCACAAAACAGCUGGGCGAAGAACUUAUACUAUUGCUCUCAGAAGAUGAAAGGAUGUAAAGCUCGUCUGAAGUUGGACGCUAACGGAGUAAUAUUUCCUACCGAUGUUGACCACAAACAUCCACCACCGAAAUACGUUAGAGUAUCCGAUGAAUAUUUUUGUAAAGUAUAGUUGUAACCACGUCCAUUGCGUUUGAACUGAAGUAAAACUACAUAGUACAGGAUUCGAAUAGGAAGCGUCAUUGAACAACCGUUUUUUGGAUGAAAAGUGUUUUGUAUCAAAUUUGUAAUGUUAAAUAGCGAACCAGUCUGGAGAGUACUUGUUAAGACCUUUAUAUAUAAUUAAUUCAAAAUUUAGAAUGAUUUUUGAUGGCCUAAGCCGUCAGCAAGGUACGCGCAGAAGUAAAGAGAAGACUAUUUCAGUCGACCGAUCUUGGUGAUUGGCGGAAUCCAGACAUUUGUGGAAAGAUUACCAUGGUUGUAUGUCGCUGCUGUGAUUGACCUGCGUCAGGUUUGGGAUAAGAAUUGAAUUAGCGCAGCUCAGAGAUACAAGCAAUUAUCUUGUUUAAUAGGAAUUAACGAUUUAUACAUAUAGACAAAUCACGACGAAUAAAAAAACAGCCGAAACAGGCCACAAACUACGCCUUAAUAAGUUUCGACUGCUAUAUCUAUACAUUGCCGCAUUUACUCUAAUUGUUUAACAUAUUAUUGGCCAAUAAGCAGUAAUGUUAAACAUUUGCCACACGACUAAGGAGAAAAGUGUGCUUACAUUGUCUUUAAUGUCACUUUUGCCGUUCCGCUAUCAGACUGAUAAUGAUAAAAUAAUAUGUCCAAAUAUGUGUACAGAACACGUGUUAGUAAUAAA